ACACUUUUGAACUAUUCAUCGCUUUUACCAGUUGUAAGUUAUCUGACUCAAAGAUCAUCUCUUUGUGUCUUCUGGAAAAGAAAAGUUCAAAGCCUCCCAUAGAGCUAGGGUUUCAGCCAUCAAAGGGGAAGACGCUCUGACCGAAACAGCCGCUCCUCCGACCAUUCUUCCUCCCGAGUCCCUGCAAAUGCAAGCUACGAAAUUUUCCUUUGAACCAACAAGCUCCAAGCAUCUAAAUCUACCAUCUUCAUGAACUCUCGAGCUCUCAACAUACCGAUGGACUGGUGUUUUGUGCCGAGCUCGCUGAACUUCCCUUCCAAAUCUGCUUUGCGACCCAGCCCCAGCUUCAACUACCGGCGGUCUGUUGGUUUGCCGCAGUUCUUCGAUCGGCCCAAGACAAAACGCCCUCCACAGCCCGACUGGUUUACUUCCCGAUUCUCCUUGUGCUCUGGUAGAUCUGUGAAGCGGUGCCCUAUUCAAAGAUUGCUGGUCUUCAUUUUCCACCCAGCAUCCCAAACCAGCGACUAUGAGCCCUCUCUGCUCGUCAUUGCAAUUUGUCAGUUCAAAGAGUGUCCCAAAAGGCGGAGUUCCUCUCAAUUGUUCUUCUCUAUAUGACAUUCCUCCAUCUUCUCCAGGUUCCGGUUCUCUGACUAUGGAUUGCGACUUUCGUAUCCUCGAUCCACCUUCUACACACCUCGAUUCACCUUCAGCUCGACGAUUUGAUUUUCCACUUCGAUUUCACAACUCUCUCCUCUCUAAUCUUCUAUCUUCUUCGGCAUUUUCCUCAGCCCCCAUUGGAGACUGCGACUCAUAUGGUUCGCCGUUCCCCUCAGCAUUUCGUACCACAUGCCCUGUCUAGGCUUCUCCUCUUUGAAAUUCUGCCUUUCCUCUAUCUUGUCCCCUGCUUUUUCCUAGGUUCUUGCGAGUGUAGCUCUUAAUUGCUGCUUGAGCUGAGUCUAUAAUUGCCAAAGCCACUGGUGUUUUACCUCGAAAGAUGGCCUGGUUUCGGGCCUUCCAGACAUUCCAUAACAUAGCAGCCACCAAGUUUAGAAUUAAUGGAGCAGAAAGAGGUGCUCAGCCGUUUCCCUUUCAUGGCUACACAAUGGGCAUAUGGGGUCAGGUAGCUGGUUUAUCACUGGUUCAAAAUUUCAGGAGCCAUUGGAUUCGUAAAGGUUCCUGAAAAACUGUAACGUAUGUUCCUUCAACUAAUUCUACUCAACCAGCCAUGCAUUUUCUACAUUUUGAAGCAUGGAAAUUAUGUUCCUCUGUCUUCUCUGAAUAGUUGUCGCGUGGAAGUAUUUUGAAUUUUAAUCCCCCCAUCUCAACCAAUUGAUUCUAAAGCGUAACCCCCAAUACAUUUCUUCUUGCCUCCCAAGCUCUUCAAUUUCUUCUUGUAUCUUUUUAAAGUGUUCCUUGUUAAAGGAAUCUGAAGUGUUAUUAGUUAAGCACACUAUUUGCUGCUUCAACUUGCUGAUUUCCUUCUUUCCAUUUACAAACUUCUUCUUGCUCCAUUUAGAGAGUGCAGUUUGAACAUCAUGUAUCUUCCCUACCAAACCUUGUUGGUGCUGGAUUGGAGGAGCCCAGUAAUUUAACACCACUUCCCUACAUUCAUCAUUCUCAAGCCAAAAGGCCUCAAAUCUGAAAAUUCUUUUUCUUCUAGCUUGGUUCGAUUGACAUGAGAGGAUAAUAGGACUAUGAUCCGAGCCUACUGCAGGAAGGGCGAAAGCUUCAACUUCUGGGUACAUUAACCGCCAUUUUAUUAUACAUACCACUCUAUCUAAUCGUUCUUUUACAUAAUCUUCCCCUUCCUUGUUGUUGGCCCAAGUAAACACACAUCCCUUACUGUCUAUAUCCAUUAAAGAGCAGGCAUCUAGACAGUCCCGAAAAGAUGUCAUCCUGUAGUUUUCAGCCAUUCGCUUCCCCACUUUUUCCCAAUAGAAUCUCACUUAAUUAAAAUCCCCCAAGCACACCCAAGGUAGAGUGCUUUCAGCACUUAUCCGUCUCAAUCUCUCCCAAAGUUGCAGCCGCUUUGGGUAUGUAUAUGGAGCAUGAACGAAGGUAAUCCUCAUCUUGUUACCCCUGACCCCUUCUUCACAUUUCAGAUUGAUAAAACUUUCAGCCAUUGAAUCAACUUCCAGAGUAAUCCGAUCAUCCCACAUAAUAGCCAAACCUCCCGCCAUACCCACAUGAUCGACUACUAAACAACUCUGAAAAUGAAGCCUUCUUUUUACUCUUUGCACAAACUCAAUUUUAUUUUUAGUUUCCAUCAGAAAAACCAAAGAGGGCUUGAAUUGAGCCAUUACGGUUCUCAAUUCCCGAACUGUCAAGGAUGUGCCCAACCCUUGACAGUUCCAACUCAAGAUAUUCAUGGCUUAUUUGAUGGCUUAUUAGGGCUAGCCACCAUAGCCUAUGCUGUAACUUUUUCCGUCAUCUGGAUAGGAGUGUCUAUAAGUUGAGUUUCAUCCAACCAGCCUUGUGUUGAAGUUGUUGACUGAUUGCUGGUUCUUUUUUGUUUCUUAGUAGAGGGAGUUUUUGGUUGUAAGAGAGUUUUUUUCCCGGUGCUAUUUGAGGUCAUUGUUGGCUGGAAAUUUGGAUUGUUUGAGUGCUCCGGCCUGGUGAUCAUUAAUGCUCUUUUCCCUGCAUUGCACAUAGUUAUCUCUUGUGUAUUGUUAUGAUUAGUCUCCAAUAGCAUCUGUUCCUGACCUCCCCUUUCAAUAUUCUGAGUAAUGUUUGGAGGGCGAAGUUGACCAUCCUCCAUCACUUCACUUUGUCUUGGUUGCUCAGGAGUUUCAGGGACAGCCUCAUCAUCAUUUUCAAUUAGGGUUACUUCAUUAUAAAACAUUUUCUAGAAUGAGCUAUGGACAAACAUUUUAGCUUUCAACCAGCUACCAAAGCAACCCCCCAGCUCAGUUGCGAAUUUCUCUUCAUCAUAAGAUAUAUCUGGACAAUAAGUAGCAUAAUGUCCAAAUUUUCCACAUGAGUAGCAGAAAAAUGGCAGUCGUUCAUACUUAAAAUCCAGUCACACUCUCUUAUUCCCAUGACACAUCAAUUGUCCUACUCUCAAUUUAGCCGCCACAUCUAACUCCACUCGUGUUUUUCCAAUUUUCUGAAAAGCAGGACCUCUUGCAUCUAUUUUCACUUGCAAAACCUUCCCCAUUGAGCUGGCUAUCUUCUUUAUCAUGCUCUCAGAAUUCUAUUCCAGCGGUAAGCCAAAUAUUAUUAUCUAGAAAGCACAUGUGUUAAAUUCAUAACAAUGUGGGGGGUAUCCGGCUCCCAAUCCCUUAGUAACAACAAAUGGUUUGAGAAAGACCAUGGACCUCCCUCUAAUACACAGUUCUUAUCCCCUUCAUUUCUGAAAACAAAGCUGAUUUUCCCAUUUUCUAAGGGUUUCACUUCCACAGUUUCAUUCCUCCAUGCCUUUUUCAUUGCUGUUGUAAGGGCUUGGAAGUUGAUGGCAGGGUUUUUAUAUAGUUGCCCAACAAGGGAGGAGCGACAUUCCUGGAUUUUUUCCUUCGAUAUCUCCUCAUCAAGAAUUUGCAUAUUGUUUUCAUACAUUAGCUUACCUAAUUUGUUGCAUAGAUGGCCGAGGCGACCCACUGCUCCUUCUUCUUCUGCCAUAAUCCUCGUUGUUCUUACACUUCUAGGUUUACUAAUUGCAGAUCGAUUACAUUCCCCGGACUGACGAGAGGGAGAACCCACCUUAUCUACCUCCGAGAUUAGAGCUGCCGUGGAUUUUCUACGUAGUACAUUCCAGCGAGGACGUUGAACUGAAGAAAGCGGCGGUUCCUGGGGAUGUGGAAUCGGGGAUUAGGGUUUAUGAGAAGAAGAAAUCUUGUAUGGGCACCGACUAACUUUGCUGCGGUGAGGAUUCCAGCACAUUCAUCUACUGAAGACUUGCGGAUUCUGUUGAUGGAAAGUCUAAAUCAUGGUGGGAAAUUAGGGUUUAUAAAGGGAUGAAGUAGGGUUGCCUUUUCACUUAUUAAAACAUACUCAUGCGAUUUUAAUCAAUUACAAGUAAUCAAAAUAAAUUCAAGAUGAUUUCCUUAA